AAUACCGCAUACGUCCGUACGGGAGAAAGGAGGGCCUCUGCUUGCACGCUCUCACUCCAGGAUGACGCCCACGUCCGAUUAGCUAGUUGGUAGGUAAAGGCCUACCAAGGCCACGAUCGGUAGCUGGUCUGAGAGGAUGAUCAGCCACACUGGGACUGAGACACGGCCCAGACUCCUACGGGAGGCAGCAGUGGGGAAUAUUGGACAAUGGGCGCAAGCCUGAUCCAGCAAUGCCGCGUGUGUGAAGAAGGCCUGCGGGUUGUAAAGCACUUUCAGUGGGGAAGAACAGAUUCGGGUCAAUACCCCGGAGCCCUGACGUUACCCACAGAAGAAGCACCGGCUAACUCCGUG
rnacentral:rRNA from 1 species